AUCUACUUCUGCAAGCGGUGGCUCUAUGUUUCUUUUCUCAUGCACUUCAAAUCGAAGGUCAUCGGCUACACCCCACUGUUCUAGAGUUGAAGGGAAAUGACUUCAAUAGCAUAUGAUUUCAUCCAUGGCCUAGCAAAACAAAAUAUGGAAAGCUUGAAGUCAAACCCCAUUGAAGCAAUAACUUUUGGAAAAGAUUCUAGUUCAUGGGAUGCACCAUAUUUUGCUAUACACCAAACAUCUACUAGAGGUCGUGAUGACAAGUACUAUGGCUUACAUGCCACGAUGGAUGUGUACGGUCACAAACUAAAACCCGGACAGUGGAGUACGGUUGCAAUUUGGGUUACUCAUACUGGAGAUGGUGCUAGAUCAAGCAUUAACUCGAUUCAAGUUGGAUGGCAUAUUUAUCCAUAGCACUAUGGUGACUCACGUCCUCACUUCUAUACCCGAUGGACGAGAGAUGGAUAUGAAAAAACCGGAUGCUUCAACAUGGAUUGCCCUGGUUUCAUACGGGUAGAUGGAGCUAGGGUAGCUCCAGGUGAUGCUAUUCAACCCGUAUCCAAUGUUCCCCAUGGGCACAUGCAAAAUAUCACAAUAAGAGUGCUUAAGGAAAGAACAAGUGGAGACUGGUGGGUGUACUACGGCUUCAACAGUGUCCCCACAGGGGUGGGGCGCUUCCCAAGGUCAUCGUUCACCUACUUAGCAGAUAAAGCAAACCAUUUUGCUUUUGGUGGUGCUGUGAUUUCUCAUAGGGCAGAUCCAACUCCUCCAAUGGGCAGUGGUUCCUUCCCAAAUGGUGGUCAAGGUCGCGCUGCAUCUUUCACCAAUCUUCGUAUCAUUGAUGAGUAUGGGAACAGCAAGCCCAUCACGGCAGACUUGCCCGUGUUGGUUACGAAUAACAAAUGUCAUACUAUUACUCCUAUUAAUCAUGGUGAAUGCCUUUAUGGUGGGCCUGGAGGUUGUGUAAGAUAAGAUGUAACAACCUUGUACUGAGCUUGCUUGCUCCACAUCGUUCAUCGCCAAAUAAAAUAUUAUGGAUGAGAUAAAAAUUAUGAAGAGAAUGUUCA